rnacentral:rRNA from 1 species
GUGAGGAAUAUUGGUCAAUGGACGGAAGUCUGAACCAGCCAUGCCGCGUGAAGGAUGAAGGCGUUCUGCGUUGUAAACUUCUUUUAUCAGAGAAGAAACCACUGAUUUCUAUUAGUGUUGACGGUAUCUGAUGAAUAAGCACCGGCUAACUCCGUGCCAGCAGCCACGGUAAUACGGAGGGUGCAAGCGUUAUCCGGAUUUACUGGGUUUAAAGGGUGUGUAGGCGGGCUAUUAAGUCAGGGGUGAAAUCCCGGGGCUCAACCUCGGAACUGCCUUUGAUACUAUUAGUCUUGAAUUAUGUUGAGGUUGGCGGAAUAUAACAUGUAGCGGUGAAAUGCAUAGAUAUGUUAUAGAACACCGAUUGCGAAGGCAGCUGGCUAAACAUAUAUUGACGCUGAGGCACGAAAGCGUGGGUAGCGAACAGGAUUAGAAACCCCUGUAGUCC